AUGUCGGCCGCGAUGUCCAUAUCCAGCCGCCGCUCUCCUUCCGAGCUUAGCCGGCCUACUCCUCCGGCAACCAUAAUCCCCAAGUCCCACCCCCUACCACCGUGGUGCCCGGAUCCAGCCGCCGCUCCUUCUUCGGUCGUCCGACCCGCUCCUCCGGGCGUGUCCGGCCGUGCGGGAACCCGUCCACCGGCCCUCUCCUCCGUCCCCAGCCGUCCCGACUGCGUCCUCCUGGACUCGUGUGGGUAUGGGUUCGUGGACGUGGACGACAACCACACCACCGCGCAAGCCUUCUCGGCGGCGACAGGAACCAUCCGUGUGACCUUCGUUAUCUCCGAUCUCCCGUGCCUCUCGCGCUUCUACGUCCGCUGCCUGGACCUCCCAACCAGCACCUUCAUCACCGAGCCCAAGAUCGUUUGCUCGGCGGAGAACCUCUUUCUCCUCAUCUUCCAUCUGUCCACUUCCUGGUUGCUGGAGCACUUCAUCUACAGGCCCGGACGGAACGGGCGUCCGCCAUCGCUUGAUGCGCUUCCCGACAUCAGCAGGUACCUACAUAGAGAGACAACCAAACCAUGCCUUAUCGGCGUCUUGCCUGAGGGCGGCGGCACAGACUUCGUCUUGGCAGCUUUCACAAGGGAUAUAUUGCAGUACAAGCUCCAUAUCUUCAGAUCCAAGCAGCGUGCCUGGACCACGGAGCUCUUGCUCCCGGAUCUUCCUUCUUGGCUGACCAAGAAAGGGGCAACAGUUUCUCCCAGCAAGGUGAUUGCUUUACAAGGCGGAGUGCUGGGCUUUGUCGAUCUCUGGAAGGGUAUUUUGUUUUGCGAUGUGCUAUCUGAACUUGUGAAAACGUGGUUUGUUCCACUGCCCAAGCUUCUGCCUAAUAACCGAGUAAACUACAACAGAUUGGUGGCACGCCCUAUUCGCGACGUCACCUGCCCCGAUGGUUUGAUAAUCAGGUGCGUCGAGUUGGAAGAUCUAUAUGCUAUCAAAACCAGCAUUCCUGAUGCCUCAACCAAGGAUCUAUUAUUUGAUUUUGAUGCGGUUGAUCCAACUGAGGAGAAGGAAGUACAAGGGUUUGUUGGUUGGAGGCUCAUUACAUGGUCUAGGGAGGUCUUUUGGGACUAUUGGUGCAAGGACAGUGUGCUUCAUCUAGAUGAACUUGGAAAUGUGUCCUUGCCUCAUCCAGAUUCCGGCUGCGAUGGUGCUGCAAAAUUGCCAUUGAAAACCCUGAAAACAUGUUACCCAACUGCGUGUGGUGAUGGCAUUGUUUGUCUCAUGUCCAAGAAAAAUCAUCGGGACCAUGAUGCAUGGAUUCUCACUGUUGACAUGAGGACCAAGAGAGUGGGAGAGCCAGUGCCAUUUAAUGCCAAGAGAUCAUCAGAUCGUAAUCCCACCUACAUUCCUUGUGUGCUGAACAAAUAUCUGAAUAAUGAAUCAGAUCUAGCUCAGGUUGGCUUGCAAAAUGCCCGUUUUCGUGGACAUUUUUCGCUUCAGCUGCCCCUUCAAAACUCGAACAAGCACAGUAAUAUUUCCCAACAGAAACGGCAGCGACUGCUGUCCCCGCAGAAGGCGAACAACCAUCCUAAUGCUUACCAACAGAAGCGGCAGACCAUUGAUUCAAAUGAGGCGACCGGCUCAUGUACUUCUCAUCAGAUAACACGUGAGAUUCUUGAUGCUAAUGUGCGAUGGGCAAAGUAUACAAACCCACCAGAUUAUCUGUUCGGUUUGAUGGGGUCUAGAGAUGAAGGGGAUUGGGGGGAUUAA
rnacentral:rRNA from 1 species